CCUGCAUCUACUUUAUUGUCCACUGAGGUUUGAACCCACAAGUUCUGGAUGGGUCAUGAGCCGUGGAGGAGAUGGCUUGAAUGAUGGUAUAUGAGUAAUCUAUUGCUAAUUACCACAAAAUUUAGAGUCUUAAAACAGGAGUGGUUAUUAUUUCGAACUUUCCGUGGGUCAAGAAUUCUGGUGCAGCGUAGCUGAAUGGUUCUGGCUCAGGGCCUCUAAAGAGGCUGUAGUAAAGAUGUUGGCUGGACUCUAAAGGCUUGACUGGGGAGUGGAUCUUCCAAGAUGGCUCACUCACAUGGCUGUUGGCCUGAGGCCUCAGUUCCUUGCCAUAUGGGCCUUUCUAUUAGUCAGCUUGAGUCUUUCCAUGACAUGGCAUUUGGCUUCCCCCAGAAUUUGUGAGGUAAGAGAAAGUGCCAGGAGGAAGCUGCAGUGCCUUUUAUGACCUAAUCUAGGAAGUCAGACACUGUCACUCCCACCACAUUCUAUUUGUUAGAAGUCAGCCACUAAGUCUGGCCCACACUCAAGGGAGGGCAAUCGGCUCUACCUUUCGAGUGGAGGACUAAAAAAGGAUUUGUGGACGUAUUUGAAAACCAUCACAGAUGAAUAGACAUCAUAUCCUUUUUUGCCGUGAUAAAUGUGGAAUAAUCAUCCUUAUAUGAAGAGGCUACUCACUUAUGCUGUAUUUAUCAGUUCAUGGGCUGAGCUCUGCUGCCUGUCGCCUCCUUCUCACUCAUUCCUGAGCCCAAGCUGACAAAGAUACCAAGCAGCUCCAACCCCAGCGUUCUAGAAGGGGCAGGUCCUUAAUGACAGGAAAAAGAAUACAGUCAAGAAAUAAAGAAUGAAGAGAGAAAAUAAAGAAAACUUUAGAAGUGCAUAGUAAGAAAAAAUGAAAAAUAAACGGAAAGAAAUGACUUUCCCGACUCAGAACCGUGACUGGCUCUAGCAAGGAAGAAAAACCAGGACGCAGGAAGCUAAGGGCUUCAAAUUAUAUCCUAACCUUUUGCAUAUUAAAAGACAAAAAGACAUGAAGUGAAUAUGCCAGAAUGUUAACACUGGUUGAAUGUGGGUGGCAGGUACAGAGGUAUUUUUCAUGUUAUUCUCUGUACUUUUCUGAAGGACUGAAAUAUUGCAAAAUGUAAAAUAAUGCCAAGGGGAAAUAAAAAGAAGAAAAAUGUAUCAUCUCACUGUAGGUUCCCCAAUUCCUCCCCUUCUCAGGCCCUGCUAAGAGAUGUGGAGCAUUUUCCUAGAGCUAAUAUAUUGGAGAUCCCUGAAAAACAGGUUUCCUUAAAAAAAAUCAAACAAAAUAAAAUAAAAAUGAAAGCUAAAACCUGCUUGAUUUCUUUCGCAUAUUGUCUGCUUCUUUUCACUUUUGAAAUCCUUAGUCUCCUGUUCAUUUUGCAUUUGUUUCUAUUGGUGCCUGUGAAUUAAGCAGACCAGCCCCAGGAUGCUGAGACACA
rnacentral:lncRNA from 1 species